UACGAAGGGGGCUAGCGUUGCUCGGAAUCACUGGGCGUAAAGCGCACGUAGGCGGAUUGCUAAGUCAGGGGUGAAAUCCUGGAGCUCAACUCCAGAACUGCCUUUGAUACUGGCAACCUUGAGUCCGGGAGAGGUGAGUGGAACUGCGAGUGUAGAGGUGAAAUUCGUAGAUAUUCGCAAGAACACCGGUGGCGAAGGCGGCAUCCUGGACCGAAACUGACACUGAGGCGCGAAAGCCAGGGGAGCAAACGGG
rnacentral:rRNA from 1 species